rnacentral:rRNA from 1 species
UACGUAGGUCCCGAGCGUUGUCCGGAUUUAUUGGACGUAAAGCAAGCGCAGGUGGUUUAUUAAGUCUGGUGUAAAAGGCAGUGGCUCAACCAUUGUAUGCAUUGGAAACUGGUAGACUUGAGUGCAGGAGAGGAGAGUGGAAUUCCAUGUGUAGCGGUGAAAUGCGUAGAUAUAUGGAGGAACACCGGUGGCGAAAGCGGCUCUCUGGCCUGUAACUGACACUGAGGCUCGAAAGCGUGGGGAGCAAACAGG